rnacentral:rRNA from 1 species
GCCUCAGUACGGCGAGUGAGCGGCAAAAGCUCAAAUUUGAAACCCUCGGGAUUGUAAUUUGAAGAUUUGGCAUUGGAGAAAGCUAACCCAAGUUGCUUGGAAUAGUACGUCAUAGAGGGUGACAACCCCGUCUGGCUAACCGUUCUCCAUGUAUUGCCUUAUCAAAGAGUCGAGUUGUUUGGGAAUGCAGCUCAAAGUGGGUGGUAAACUCCAUCUAAAGCUAAAUACUGGUGAGAGACCGAUAGCGAACAAGUACUGUGAAGGAAAGGUGAAAAGAACUUUGAAAAGAGAGUGAAAUAGUAUGUGAAAUUGUUGAUAGGGAAGGAAAUGAGUGGAGAGUGGCCGAGGUUUCAGCCGCCCCUCGUGGGCGGUGUACUGCCGACGCCGAGUCAUCGAUAGCGAGACGAGGGUUACAAAUGGGAGCGCCUUCGGGCGUUCUCCCCUAACCCUCCACACUGCCACCGACGACAUAAUCCACCCAUUUCACCCGUCUUGAA